UUGAAAAACGCCCUGCUAAAAUUUCUGAUGCGUUAUGGUCACGUUUUGAUUCUAUUGUCAAGUAAUGGAUUUAUGGCACUAUUUUCUCUGAUUUAUUACAAACUAUUCUUUGUCGUGGGGAUUACGCACAAGUUCUUUAUGACAAAUUGAAGGCUAUUUUUCAAGAUAAUAAACAUACUCGGGUUGUUUAUCUUGAAAAUCAAUUUGAUUCCCUUCACUUGUCCAAUUUUUCUGAUGUUUCGUCAUAUUGCACAAAAUGAAAGAAUUUGAAGACCAACUUGCCAAUCUUGAUCAACCUGUUUCUUAGCAAAAAUUUGUUCGUCGGCUUAUUGCUGGCCUUUGCCUUUGUUUGAGUCUGCAAGAUCUCGUCUUUUGCUUGAAGAAUCUCGACGUGCACAAGACACCACCUCCCCAAACACUUCAUUCACGGCUCAAGGACCACCGACGACAGCAACCGCCACAUCAACACCACUACUACACCAACAGCAGCACAACUAAUGUGGUCGUGGUGGUGGUGGGCCCGGGAGCGGCGUGGCCGUGGGUCCAACGAGCCCCUCACCCACAUCAAUCCUCGAUAGGUCAACCAUCCCAGCAGCAUCAUGCCUCGCAGCAGGUCGCUUCUUCUUGGGCUAGACCACCCCCGCAGCAGACUUGGUCUGCCCCUCCCUAUUUGGCUCAGGCAUAGGCUACUGCUCCAGCCUAAUUCCCACAGCAGCCCAGGAGUUUUUGGCCCCCAUAAUCUGCCGCAUAUGGGCCAAGCCCAGUCAGUCAAUUUAUGUCGCAAGCCCACCAGUCCACAUACGCUCCCUAUCUGGUUCAUGGGCCUACUCGUUGGCCAACUCGUUUUCUACCAUGAUGCUUCCAAAAAUAAUUCGUGAUACAUGGAUUUGGGUAUGACUGCUCAUAUAACAAAUUCUUCAGGACCUCCACACGGGGAAUAUCAUAGCGAGAUGCAAUAGUUCAGGGGAACUUUAUCCAGUGAUUGGCACUCUACCUUCUACAUGUCUAGCCAUCGCUCUCACGACCACUUCCUCACCAAUUUGGCAUAGUCGCCUCGGACAUUCAAGAUCUCAAGUUUUAAAUUUUCUUAAAUCUAAAGAUUUACUACAUUGUAAUAAAGAGCCUACCUCUGAUUUUUGCAAUUCUGGUCAAGUAGGCAAACAUAUUCGUUUACCGUUUCAUCCAUUAAAUAGUAAUACUGUUUUUGCUUUUGAUA